rnacentral:rRNA from 1 species
UAGGGAAUCUUCGGCAAUGGACGAAAGUCUGACCGAGCAACGCCGCGUGAGUGAAGAAGGUUUUCGGAUCGUAAAACUCUGUUGUUAGAGAAGAACAAGGACGUUAGUAACUGAACGUCCCCUGACGGUAUCUAACCAGAAAGCCACGGCUAACUACGUGCCAGCAGCCGCGGUAAUACGUAGGUGGCAAGCGUUGUCCGGAUUUAUUGGGCGUAAAGCGAGCGCAGGCGGUUUCUUAAGUCUGAUGUGAAAGCCCCCGGCUCAACCGGGGAGGGUCAUUGGAAACUGUGGGACUUGAGUGCAGAAGAGGAGAGUGGAAUUCCAUGUGUAGCGGUGAAAUGCGUAGAUAUAUGGUGGCACACCAGUGGCGAAGGCGGCUCUCUGGUCUGUAACUGACGCUGAGGCUCGAAAGCGUGGGGCGCAAACAGG